rnacentral:rRNA from 1 species
GAUGAACGCUAGCGGCAGGCUUAAUACAUGCAAGUCGAGGGACAGCACAGGUAGCAAUACUGGGUGGUAACCGGCAAACGGGUGCGGAACACGUACACUACCUUCCUUUAAGUGGGGGAUAGCCCAGAGAAAUUUGGAUUAAUACCCCUUAAUAUAGUUGAAUGGCAUCAUUUGAUUAUUAUAGCUACGCCGCUUAAUGAUGGGUGUGCGGCUGAUUAGAUAGUUGGCGGGGUAACGGCCCACCAAGUCUACGAUCAGUAGCUGAUGUGAGAGCAUGAUCAGCCACACGGGCACUGAGACACGGGCCCGACUCCUACGGGAGGCAGCAGUAAGGAAUAUUGGUCAAUGGACGCAAGUCUGAACCAGCCAUGCCGCGUGAAGGAUUAAGGUCCUCUGGAUUGUAAACUUCUUUUAUUUGGGACGAAAAAGGGCCUUUCUAGGUCAACUGACGGUACCAGACGAAUAAGCACCGGCUAACUCCGUGCCAGCCGCCGCGGUAAAAC